GCAUGAGUGGUGGAAUGGCAUACACAUCGCGCUUAAAACGCGACGACCUGGAGUCAUGCGGGUUCGAAUCCCGCCUCAUGCACCA
rnacentral:tRNA from 1 species